rnacentral:rRNA from 1 species
GUGCCAGCAGCCGCGGUAAUACGGAGGGUGCGAGCGUUAAUCGGAAUGACUGGGCGUAAAGCGUGCGUAGGUGGUAACGUUAGUCAGCCGUGAAAGCCCUGGGCUCAACCUGGGAAUGGCGGUUGAAACGGCGUAACUGGAGUGGGCUAGAGGACUGUGGAACUCCCGGUGUAGCGGUGAAAUGCGUAGAGAUCGGGAAGAACACCGAUGGCGAAGGCAGCGGUCUGGGGCCACACUGACGCUGAGGCACGAAAGCGUGGGGAGCAAACAGGAUUAGAUACCCCGGUAGUCC